UAGGGAAUCUUCCGCAAUGGACGCAAGUCUGACGGAGCAACGCCGCGUGAGUGAAGAAGGAUUUCGGUUCGUAAAACUCUGUUGUUAGAGAAGAACAGCGCAUAGAGUAACUGUUAUGCGUGUGACGGUAUCUAACCAGAAAGCCACGGCUAACUACGUGCCAGCAGCCGCGGUAAUACGUAGGUGGCAAGCGUUGUCCGGAUUUAUUGGGCGUAAAGCGAGCGCAGGCGGUCAAUUAAGUCUGAUGUGAAAGCCCCCGGCUCAACCGGGGAAGGUCAUUGGAAACUGGUUGACUUGAGUGCAGAAGAGGAGAGUAGAAUUCCAUGUGUAGCGGUGAAAUGCGUAGAUAUAUGGAGGAACACCAGUGGCGAAGGCGACUCUCUGGUCUGUAACUGACGCUGAGGCUCGAAAGCGUGGGUAGCAAACAGG
rnacentral:rRNA from 1 species